rnacentral:miRNA from 1 species
CCCAUCAACUGCUGAACUGUUUU